rnacentral:rRNA from 1 species
CGCUGGCGGCGUGCCUAACACAUGCAAGUCGAACGAAGCAUUUGGAGUUGAUCCCUUCGGGGUGACGCACCUUAUGACUUAGUGGCGGACGGGUGAGUAACACGUGAGCAACCUGCCUCUCAGAGUGGAAUAACAGUUGGAAACGGCUGCUAAUACCACAUAACGUUUUUGUGCCGCAUGACACUUCAACCAAAGAUUUAUCGCUGAGAGAUGGGCUCGCGUCCGAUUAGGUAGAUGGUGGGGUAACGGCCUACCAUGCCGACGAUCGGUAGCCGGACUGAGAGGUUGAUCGGCCACAUUGGGACUGAGACACGGCCCAGACUCCUACGGGAGGCAGCAGUGGGGGAUAUUGCACAAUGGGCGCAAAGCCUGAUGCAGCAACGCCGCGUGCGGGAAGACGGCCUUCGGGUUGUAAACCGCUGUCCUUGGGGAAGAAACAAAUGACGGUACCCAAGAAGGAAGCCACGGCUAACUACGUGCCAGCAGCCGC